UAGUGGCGAACGGGUGAGUAACACGUGGGCAAUCUGCCCUUCACUCUGGGACAAGCCCUGGAAACGGGGUCUAAUACCGGAUAACACUGCGGAUCGCAUGGUCUGUGGUUAAAAGCUCCGGCGGUGAAGGAUGAGCCCGCGGCCUAUCAGCUUGUUGGUGAGGUAGUGGCUCACCAAGGCGACGACGGGUAGCCGGCCUGAGAGGGCGACCGGCCACACUGGGACUGAGACACGGCCCAGACUCCUACGGGAGGCAGCAGUGGGGAAUAUUGCACAAUGGGCGAAAGCCUGAUGCAGCGACGCCGCGUGAGGGAUGACGGCCUUCGGGUUGUAAACCUCUUUCAGCAGGGAAGAAGCGAAAGUGACGGUACCUGCAGAAGAAGCGCCGGCUAACUACGUGCCAGCAGCCGCGGUAAUACGUAGGGCGCAAGCGUUGUCCGGAAUUAUUGGGCGUAAAGAGCUCGUAGGCGGCUUGUCACGUCGAUUGUGAAAGCCCGAGGCUUAACCUCGGGUCUGCAGUCGAUACGGGCUAGCUAGAGUGUGGUAGGGGGAGAUCGGAAUUCCU
rnacentral:rRNA from 1 species